AGCCUAAAUGUGAAGUUGAGUCGAUUAGUAGGAUCAGCUGACCAUACUAAUCUACUCCACUUCACGUUUGGCCCC
rfam:Haemonchus placei strain MHpl1 genome assembly, scaffold: HPLM_scaffold0007525